rnacentral:rRNA from 1 species
AUACGGAGGGUCCAAGCGUUAUCCGGAUUCAUUGGGUUUAAAGGGUCCGCAGGCGGGAAAAUAAGUCAGUGGUGAAAGCCUACAGCUCAACUGUAGAACUGCCAUUGAUACUGUUUUUCUUGAGUAUAGAUGAAGUGGGCGGAAUAUAUCAUGUAGCGGUGAAAUGCAUAGAUAUGAUAUAGAACACCGAUUGCGAAGGCAGCUCACUAAACUAUUACUGACGCUCAGGGACGAAAGCGUGGGGAGCAAACAGGAUUAGAAACCCUAGUAGUCC